rnacentral:tRNA from 1 species
GGCCGGGUAGCUCAGUCGGUAGAGCAGCGGAUUUAAAAUCCGCGUGUCGCAGGUUCGAUUCCCGCUCCGGCCACCA